UACGGAGGGUGCGAGCGUUAAUCGGAAUUACUGGGCGUAAAGGGUGCGUAGGUUGUUGUAUAAGUUAUCUGUAAAAGCCCUGGGCUUAACCUGGGAAGGCCAGAUAAGACUGUACGACUGGAGUAUGGGAGAGGGUAGUGGAAUUUCCGGUGUAGCGGUGAAAUGCGUAGAGAUCGGAAGGAACACCAGUGGCGAAGGCGGCUACCUGGCCUGAUACUGACACUGAGGCACGAAAGCGUGGGGAGCAAACAGG
rnacentral:rRNA from 1 species